UACGUAGGGCGCAAGCGUUUGUCCGGAAUUAUUGGGCGUAAAGAGCUCGUAGGCGGCUUGUCACGUCGGGUGUGAAAGCCCGGGGCUUAACCCCGGGUCUGCAUUCGAUACGGGCUAGCUAGAGUGUGGUAGGGGAGAUCGGAAUUCCUGGUGUAGCGGUGAAAUGCGUAGAUAUCAGGAGGAACACCGGCGGCGAAGGCGGCCCUCUGGAUCGUUGCUGACGCUGAGACGCGAAAGCGUGGGGAGCAAACAGG
rnacentral:rRNA from 1 species